CACUCCUGCGGGAGGCAGCAGUGGGGAAUUUUGGACAAUGGGCGAAAGCCUGAUCCAGCCAUGCCGCGUGCAGGAUGAAGGCCUUCGGGUUGUAAACUGCUUUUGUACGGAACGAAACGGCCUUUUCUAAUAAAGAGGGCUAAUGACGGUACCGUAAGAAUAAGCACCGGCUAACUACGUGCCAGCAGCCGCGGUAAUACGUAGGGUGCAAGCGUUAAUCGGAAUUACUGGGCGUAAAGCGUGCGCAGGCGGUUAUGUAAGACAGUUGUGAAAUCCCCGGGCUCAACCUGGGAACUGCAUCUGUGACUGCAUAGCUAGAGUACGGUAGAGGGGGAUGGAAUUCCGCGUGUAGCAGUGAAAUGCGUAGAUAUGCGGAGGAACACCGAUGGCGAAGGCAAUCCCCUGGACCUGUACUGACGCUCAUGCACGAAAGCGUGGGGAGCAAACAGGAUUAGAAACCCCGGUAGUCCC
rnacentral:rRNA from 1 species